UGCAUCAUAUAUGCAUAUUCUUACUUCAUCUGUAAAACAACGAUAUAUUAACUUCUACUACUUUAGGUUCAUAAGGAGUAUGAUUUUGUAUUGACUUUAAAAUGAUCAACUCCCCGCGGGGAAGUCUUUUAUGCUAAUCAGCCAACUAGGAUCAUUAAUAUAGCUGCGUAGAUUUAAGAAGAUUUGACUAUAUGCAAUAAGAUAAUAUGGUAACCAUCAUCACACUUUUGUACAGAGUAUGUAUAAGAUAUUGAUGAAUAAAGCAUAUAUUUAUAUAAUUUAAGCCCAAGCACUGUUUAAUAACAUAAUUAACUGAAUGCUAAUCAAA
rnacentral:lncRNA from 1 species